UACGUAGGGUGCAAGCGUUGUCCGGAAUUAUUGGGCGUAAAGAGCUCGUAGGCGGUUUGUUGCGUCGGCUGUGAAAUCCCCGAGGCUCAACCUCGGGUCGUGCAGUCGAUACGAGCAAACUAGAGUGUUGCAGGGGAGACUGGAAUUCCUGGUGUAGCGGUGAAAUGCGCAGAUAUCAGGAGGAACACCGGUGGCGAAGGCGGGUCUCUGGGGCAACA
rnacentral:rRNA from 1 species